ACAUGGUUUGUCUAGGUAGGACCGACAGGACAAAUGAACGGAUUGGCUCUGUUUUAAUAGUUAUUUUGUUUUCGUAUCUCGUAUCAUUUGGAAGCCCAUGACAUGUUCAAAACUAGUGUCUAUCAUUGGGGAUGGCGCCAGUGCUGUAGGUGGCUACCAACAUAGGUGUUAUCGCAGUAACGGUUGUUGUCUUCAAUUGGUAUUUGACCGUAAUUAGUUCGAUUAUACAUUUUACGUAAUAUUUCUUGGAGAUAACAUAGGCACAAACUGAUGCUACUAAGCUGUUAAUUGUUUCUAAGCUGAAAUUGUUUCUAAGCUACUAAUUGUUUCUAAGCUGAAGGACGUAACUUGUGUAUAACUAGGCUGACAUUUCUAGGGUACGGGGGAGAAAAUUACUUGGUUUAUCUAGGUAGGACCGGUAGGACAAAAGAACGAAUUGGCUCUGUUUUAAUAUUUAAGCUGUUUUCGUAUCUCGUAUCAUUGGAAGCCCAUGUGACAUGUUCAAAACUAGUGUCUAUCAUUCAUUGGCGAUGGCGCCAGACCUGUAGGUGGCUACCAACAUAGGUGUUAUCGCAGUAACGGUUGUUGUCUUCAAUUGGUAUUUGACCGUAAUAUUUUUUGGAGAUAGCAUAGGCACAGUUGUCAACAUAGACAGCAUUUCGUGUUAUGUUAUUUCCAAGAAGUAAUAGCAAGGACAUAUACAUUCCUGGGGCUUCAGGCCCCGCGGGUAAAGAUUUAUUCUGAUAGCUUCAUAGACUUACCAUAACUGAGGGUGGACAUGACUAAUACAUCUGUUCUUCAUUACACCAACGAACCUAACCUCAAAAUGACUGACAAUUCUCAGGUCAUUUUGACAGAUGUAGCAUGAGCAUGAAAAAGACGGCAACUAGAUCGAUAAAGUAGACUAUAUGAUCCGUCCUUUUCGUGCAUGUGUGUGGUCUGUCAAAAUGACCUGUGAAGUGUCAAACAUUUUCAUGGCUAGCUUUGUUGGUGUAAUGAAAAAUGGGAGGGAAAAUGCAAAAUUUUGAUUAAAAGUACAAUGUAAAAACUACCCAAGUAACCAGUAAGCUUUUAAAAUAGCAUUCCUUCAACAUUAUAGUAGCCUUUACGACAAGGCGUUUAAUGCUAAUUAGCCGUAUAUGCGCCUAUAGUGCUACCUCACAGCAGGUUUUGGCAAAAUAACAGGCUGUCUUAGUGCUAUCCCUUCAGGAACGUCGUGGCGAAAUGUCAAAGAAGCGUAACGCCUCGUCGAGCAAAAAAAAAACAAAAAUAGAUUGACGUCUGCUUCUCGUUCUCUCAGCCAGCUUCCCCGCUUCAUCGUCCUUCCAUAUUCCAGCCGGUGCUAGGUGGUACUUUUUUGCUGAUUUUUGUAGUGAUGUAGGUUUGAACUUACGAUCCGGAGAUUGAUUGAUCACAUCUGCUUCGGAUUCUGUUGCUCCUGAUCCACGAUGCUAAAGCUGUCCCGGUGGCGUGCGUUGAUUUAAUCGCCAAUAUAAAGAAUGAUUCGAUAACAGCUUCAGAUUCAACAUCCAAAACUUGUUUUCAUUGGGAUAUUUCAUUGUGGUAGAGCAUUACGAUCCCUUCUUUUAAAUAUCUAUGGAUUAUGAUUGUUUCUGUUGGUUAAUGCUAUGGAUCGCCAAUCCGGAGACGGCGGGUUCGAUUCCCGUUUCGGUCGGGAAAAUUUUCUCGACUCCCUGGGCAUAGUGUAUCAUUGUGCUUGCCUCACAAUAUACAAAUUCAUGCAAUUUCAGGCAAAGAAAGCCCUUCAAUUAAUAACUUUGGAAGUGCUCAAAGAAUACUAAGUUGAAGCGAGGCAGGCCAAGUCCCAGUGAGGAUGUAGAGCCACAAAGAAGAAAAAGAAGAAGCACUCUCAAUUUUCAACCAAAUCAGCGUUUCUUUUAAUCACCUUAAUACUUAGUUCUAUAUAUUUACCUUAAUCUCUUACUUCCAUUCUGACUACAUUUUUUUUAUGAAUAUCUUCGGCUUUGGGGAACGUUCAAAAAUUACGUCCAACAUUUGGGGGAGGGGGGAGGGGUCUAGAAAAGUGUGACAGUACGUGUAUUGGGUAUAGGGAAAUUGCGAGACAGAGGGGGGGAGGGGGGUCUAGAAAUCCCGAAAAACGAUGGACGUAAUUUUUGAAUCUUCCCUUGUGGAUGAUUACGAUGAGCGAAGUAUAUGGGGCUAGGGGCAAGACACUGUGCAAACGAGAGCAACUCUGAGAAUUUCUGAGUAACUCUUUUUGUCGAUGAUCGACGAAAUUUAUUGAAAGACAUCCCCAAAACUGCAAUUUUCAUUCAGCACACGCAACACUUUGCAGUUUGACAUUGGUGCCAGAUCCCGCUUUGGCAUAAAUGGGAGAAAUUCUGAGGAACUGUGAGGAAUUCUGAGCAACACCUCGAACACAGAUUUGCUCUCGUUAGAUCUUUCCUGCCCCUAGAUAUGGGGUGAUUUUCUGGCGAUAUUUUUUACAGAUCCCUUAGCAAUGACAACAUUGCAUGCGGAUGCAUGCAAACCAGGGGGAUGACGAAGGGCCAGAAUCAUCUACCCAGCAUUCGAUUCAACAUGGCGUCCCAUGUUUUUGUUUUUAUUGCUUAAUUCAUGGAAAAAAUGCGCUGGAAACAUCGACACUGCUUCGCUACUGCAUAUAAUAUCGUGCAAAGUGAUAAAAAAAGAGAAACAAUCCGAAAUAAGCACUAGCAACACACGAGCCGCACACCCGAAAAUCAGAAGCAAGUUAGGGUAAACCGACCAGAAAGUGGGUACCAAAACGUGCCGUACCAAAAAUAAUGAUGGGUAGAGCGGCGACGUACCGAGUUUGACAGCUGUGUCACCCACUGAUGCAAACUGCUCAUUCCCAAACUUUUCCUCAAAGUUUCCAAACAAACUUUUUUUAAUUUCUUAUGACUUUCUCAACGGGAAUUGUAUUACCUUAUUCCUAAUAUUUUUGGUAGAUUCCUGCUGAUUGAAAUCCAAAAUUUGUGACAAAUUCCAUAAAAAGGUCAUUGUAAUGCUUCGGCAGAUUACUGAUGUAAGAUAAAAUAUUUCUAGUGCUGUCAUGGUAGAAUUAGAGCUAGUUAGUCCAAGUUCCCCGAUUUUAUUGUCGGGUCGCCACCAAACCGGACUUCGCACAAUCAAGUCGCGACGCGACCCAACUCGCGACGUUUUUCAAUCAUAUCAAAGGUAGUGCGCAUCCUUCCCGUUGUUGUCAGCAACACAGCGCACUAGAUGCGACACUUGUGGACCAAAAAAAUGGCAAUUUUUGAUUGAAUGUCGGUCUUGAUUCCAACCGGAUAGACAAUAGCGUCCUUUCAAGUGUACAUUCCCAAGGAUGAACCGCUUAUGCAAUUCCUGAAGGAACUGCUGGAACAACUUCUGAAAGAAUCCAUGGAACAAGUUUUGAAGAAAUCUCUGCCGAAAUAAUAAUAAUAAUCUUCGAUAUAACGUACCCUCGAUAUAGCGCACCCUUGAUAUAGCGAAUUCGAUAUAACGUACAUUUUGCUUCGAUAUAACGUACAACAUUGAAAAUUGUUAUUUUUCCCAGGAAUAACUCUCAACUGUUCCGAACCAAGUUUUUAAACUUCGGUUUUUUGCCGAAGUUUGAAAAAAAAUAAAAUUUCUUAAAUCGCUGAACCGAUUUGGUCAAUUGGCAUUGCAUACUCGACUAUGCUUAGUACUGCGCGCCGUUAGAGUAAUUAAAAGUAAAUAUACCUUUAUAUUACUUUUUUUUAUGUGAUGUAGGGUAAAUCGGGGUAGUUUGGCCACCCUAAGAAAAAGUCGUUUUAACAUGCAGAAAACAACGAUAAAUCUCUCGUUCAUCGUAUGAUCAUAAUGAUUCUGAUAAUACUACGCAGGAUACAUGAAAAUAUCAAAGUCAAUUCGUGUUUAUAUGCCAAAAACAAUUUUUUGAAAAAAGUAUGAUUUUUGCAUCAAUUUUAAACCGUCGGAGUAAUUUGAGCACCCUAUUUUCAAUGAAGAUUUUGUUUUUCGCCUAAUGUAUUGUACGUGGAUUUGCUAACUGAACACGACGAAUCAGAACCGUCGUUUUUGGAAUCGCCGGUCGAAUCGCCGUUUGAAUCGUCGUUCGAUUGCAGAGCGAGACAGCAGCCAAACUGACACAUCAGCGUUGACAUAUUUAACGUAGGAGCAACACGUGCGUGAGAUUUUCUCUCGGUUGGUGUGGUUUGUUUUGAUCCAAUCUGACAUUUCUUUUACGCUGCUUAUGCUGCCGGUGCUGCCAGCUGAUGAAGGUAAGGAUGGAGUAGCAUAGUCGGAGGGGCGUUCCAAUGCGUUUUACAGAGAAUCAGUGUAAAUAGAGGUCGUUUAACGUAAUAAGAGCAUUAACAUAAAAGUCUAUAUUUUACAAGAACGCAUGGAAACGCCCCCUGAAUUUAACGGCGAUUCCCAAACAGCUCAGGCAAAUUCCCUUGGAAUUCAUCUUCGAAGUAAAAUCACAAUAUCUCGAACAGACACAGGAAUAUCAUUGCUCAAGCAAACCAUUCCAUCCAUAAGUUUUUGUCUUGGUAAUUUAUAAUGAGGACAUUCAAAAACAAUAUGAUCUAUAUCUUCAUAUGAUUUAUCACUUGCACAAAGAUUAGAAUCUAUGAUAUUCAUACGAUACAAAUAAUCAUUACAAAUACAAUGAUUAGACAUUAAUCUUGAAAAAUUUGCCAAUUAUUCAAUGAAUAUUUCUUCAAUUUGGAAAAAUAUUCGUGGGAAAAAAUAUCACGAUUAUAAAUUAUUCCACGAAAAACACCUAAUUUUGCCAAAUAAUCAGCUUGUUCAUUGUCAAAAAUACUACAAUGAGCUGGAACCCAAACAAAUUUUAUAAAAUAACCUCGAGAAUUUAAAUCAUGUAGUAACCCUCUAAUUGACAAAAUUAUAUGAUUAGUUUUGAAAUGAAAGUUUAUUGAAUUUAGAGCCAAAAGAUAACUCAAGCUGUCAGAACACACCAUGUAUAUAAUAGGUGUACAAUUUUUAAUCAAAUUACAUGUAAAAUGUAGAGCAAUUAAUUCAGCUGUGAAAUUGGAACAUGAGGAUUCCAAUUUAUAAAAAUAGACCAAAUGCAAAUUAAAUACUCCAAAACCCUGCAACACCGUCAAUCAUUGAACAAUCUGUGUAAUAAAUGUUAUCAUUUUCAAUCCCAAUUAAUUUUCGUUUAAAUAAAUAACAAAUUGGCAAAUCGAGGAUAAUCCUGAUGAGGAAUGUGUUUCAACUCUUCAAGUAAUGAUAAGUCAAUACAAGGACGAUAUGAAUGCACACUCAUAUUAUAUUCAUGAAAACCGGGGGAAGGAUUUUGUACAACAUUUUCUGUAGCACAGAAAAUAAAAGAAAUUUUGCUAGAAGUAUUGGUGAUUUGUUGUUGCAUGAAGAAGAAGAAGAAGAACGAUGGUGUUUGGAAAAAAUCCUAUCCCUACAACACAGGGGAAGUUUAUAAAAUGUCUCUAUAAAAUCUAAAACAAAAUCUAAUUAAAAACGGUUUGAUGUACGGUGUUAGACUUUGGACGGACUACACAUUGAACGUAUAAAUUUAAAUUUAACAUUUUUUUCUUGAUAAAGGGUGAUACGGUCAAAAUUUGGUCACACAAUUGGUUUCAUAACUUGAUACUGCGUACACCAAAACAGCUGAUUUUUGGACCAGUAAUGGUACAUUAUAUGUAGCUUAUACCAUAAAAUUUUCAUCAAAAUCGGUUUAGUAUGUGCUGAGAUAUUGUGAAUCCUGAAAACUGCAAUUUUAAAAUGUUGUACAAGGAGGAUUAAAAAAAUAAGAACACAUUUUUACUCUUUUAUUUAUAGAGCCACAAAUACUGAACCAAUUUCAAUGAAAAUUUUUCUGUAUGUAAAGUAUACAUAUCAAAAUGUUGUGUAAAAAUUUCAUUCAAUUUGAUCCAGCCAUUACAAAGUUAUAUUUGUUUAGGUGGUCAAAUUUUGUCAAGUCAAGCCAAAUUUUGGUCACACAUUUUUUUUCAUAACUUUAGACUGCGUACACCAAAACAGCUGAUUUUUGGAUCAGUAAUGGUCCAUUAUAUGUAGCUUGUACCAUAAAAUUUUCAUCAAAAUCGGUCCAGUAUUUGCGGAGAUAUUGUUGAACCCUGAGAUCUGCAAUUUUAAUUUUUUUUUCACAAAUAAGAACACAUUUUUACUGUUUUAUUUAUAGAGCCAGAAAUACUUAACCGAUUUCAAUAAAAAAUUUUCUGUAUGUGAAGUAUGCAUAUCAAAAUGUUGUGUAAUAAUUUCAUUCAGUUUGAUCGAGCCGUUACAAAGUUAUAAAUGCUUAAGUGGCACCCGGUCAGUUUUUUUCAUAUUCAAACUGCUACAACUUUGAAAGUAUUCAUACAAAAUAGCUCAAAAUUUUACUGCGAACGUAUUUUCAUUAUAGUAUUAUACUGUAAAAUUUUGAUAAAAAUCGGAGCAGUAUUGGUUGUUCUAUAAUCAAAAUUGUGCUUUACUGAUCUUAAAUUUCCGAAAAUUUACUAUGGAGCGCCUUUGUACAAAAUUUUAAAAUAAUAGGUCGAUGGUUUCAUCUAUAUACCAACCAAUACUUAAUCGAUUUUGAUGAAAAUUUUAUGGUAUAAGCUACAUAUAAUGUAGCAUUACUGGUCCAAAAAUUAGCUGUUUUGGUGUACGCAGUCUAAAGUUAUGAAAAAAAAUGUGUGACCAAAUUUUGACCGUAUCACCCUUUAAUGUACAUAAUUUGUAGUCCGUUCAAAGUCUAACACCGUACAUCAAACCGUUUUUAAUUAGAUUUUGUUUUAGAUUUUAUAGAGGCAUUUAAAAAACUUCCCCUGUGUUGUAGGGAUAGGACUUUUUCAAAACACCAUCGUUCUUCUUCUUCUUCUUCAUGCAACAACAAAUCACCAAUUGAUUUCAUUGAUUGUUUUUAAUGUAUCAAUUAGUGGAUGACUAAUUGAAAAAAAAAUAGAUCAAAAAUUUACCACGCUGAUGGGGCUACCACCUUGGAUCUAGCUGGGCGUGGUGCAGCUUUUUUUACUCAGCCGCUGGAUGCCAGAACAGACGCUGUUUGAGCCGCACCUCCUUGGUGAACAAACGCUCGAAUCGUACCUCCUCAAUCUAGCUGAAGUCAGAAGGACAACAGUGCCCAGGCUGCACUACCAGCUAAGCACACAACUUUUAGCUGGCGCCUGGCGGUCUUUGUCAUCGCUUGACCCGUGGAAGCAUGAGGUAGGAACUUGUGAGGACCAGAGCUAUGUUGGACGCUCUCCUUAUCAACUCACCGUUUUGCAGCCCAAAUGAAGAGGAAUCGUGAGUAAAAAUCAUAAAAAACACCUAAGGUAAGCACAUAACUAUUCUGUUUCCAACGUGUGAUUAACCAUCAAAUAGAUCCACUGGUCACGUGUAAGACGUAUUUUUGACGACGGAACGUCGUGACUUGACUAAACUCGACAGAAAUGGUUCACUACUUGACUAGGUAGACAUCGUGACAGGUUCUAUACGUUGACGUUUUCAAUGUAGUUGGCAUUAUAAGAAUAACGUGAGAGUAGGAAAUGUUUAUAUAGACAUGACCGAUGCUGAGAAUCCUAGGGGCUCCCUUAGGUGUAUUUAUCAUAAGUUUACUCCAAGCACUGUGACGCUGAGACAAGUUUGCUUACAGUUGAAGCUUUUAUGUUAACAUUCAAAUUGACUGCUAUUAAAAGAUUAUGAAGGAAAUUAUUAUUUUUAUGUCCACAACAUCAAAUGGAAGCUCAAAAAGAGAGUUAUUUGAAGCGGAUUCCAGUGCUGUAGAUGACCAACAUCGGUUCAUCAUAACAAUAUU